GCCGGGUGGUCAUCAGCAGAGAUUGGGAAGGUCGUUGUGCUGGAAGAAUGAAGAUGGGAUACAAAACACUAUUCCGCCGUCUCUCAAAUACCCAGGUAUUUUUGGUUGAACCAAAACAACGGGACAAUCCUAAUGACCGAGAGACCUCCGCAGGGAACGUACGACGUCAAUAUUACGGUUUCUGACGGUGUGUGACCAGAUACCUUCUCUACUAUCAAAAUUUAUGUACAAGAGAUUGGAAGUGACGCCUUCCGCAGCUCGGUGUCUCUGAGACUCACAAGCAUUACAGCAGAGGAAUUCAUAGAGAAGGAUGAGUUUGGAGUCAGCAGACGUGACCAGCUCCAGGCCGUCCUGGCAGACAUGGCAGCUGCCCAUCCCAGCCAUAUCCACAUCUUCAGUGUGGUGAAUGCAGAGGAUAACGCGACCGACGUGACAUUUUCAGUAUGCAGAGCUGCCUCCUGCCACAAACCCGAGAUCUUACGGAGCUUAUUGACAGC